CAGAGAAUAGUUUAAAGUAAAAUAUUAGUUUUGGGGAUUAAAGAUAAAGUAAUUUCUUUUUCUCUGA
rnacentral:tRNA from 1 species